CCUACGGGAGGCUGCAGUGGGGAAUAUUGGGCAAUGGGCGCAAGCCUGACCCAGCAACGCCGCGUGAAGGAAGAAGGCUUUCGGGUUGGAAACUUCUUUUUACAGAGAAGAGUAGAAGACGGUACCUGCCGAAUAAGCCACGGCUAACUACGUGCCAGCAGCCGCGGUAAUACGUAGGUGGCAAGCGUUGUCCGGAUUUACUGGGUGUAAAGGGCGUGUAGCGGGGUUGAUAAGUCAGAUGUGAAAUCCUGCGGCUUAACCGUAGAAUUGCAUUUGAAACUGUUGAUCUUGAGUACUGGAGAGGCAGACGGAAUUCCUAGUGUAGCGGUGAAAUGCGUAGAUAUUAGGAGGAACACCAGUGGCGAAGGCGGUCUGCUGGACAGCCACUGACGGUGAGGCGCGAAAGCGUGGGGAGCAAACAGGAUUAGAUACCCCUGUAGUC
rnacentral:rRNA from 1 species